AACGCAUAUUGCACCCACGUGGGAAACCACAGGGUAUACUUGCCUGAGAAUAUGUAUAUUUGAUUAGCCGACCGGAGGAAAGUCUUUUUUCCUUUCGUUUUGGUUAGUAUUGAGGAGUUCGAAAUUUUUUUUUUUUAAAAAAAAAAUCUUCGUUCCUUUAAAGUAAUAUAGAAAAGGAAAAGAAAAAAAGAAAAAAUUACAAAGAAGCAUUAUUGAUUACUCCAUUAUUGAUGGGAUAUUUUUAUGCGAUCUUGAAUGUAGUUUUCUUCAUAUUUUUUUUCUUAACACCAAUUCCUUUUUUUCUUUAAAUAAUCUUCAUAAUCUCAGUUUAAGUAAGACUACCCGCUGAACUUAA
rnacentral:misc_RNA from 1 species